rnacentral:lncRNA from 1 species
AGGCCGUAGUCCCUCUAAAAAGCUGGCCGCGAAGGGAUACCUCUGCAUAGCUAGUUAACAGGCUGAGGUCUCGUUCAUUAACGGAAUGAACCAGACAAAUUGCUCCACCAACAAAGAACGGGCAUGCACCACCACCCAUAGAAUCAAGAAAGAGCUCUCAGUCUGUCAGUCCUUACUAUGUCUGGACCUGGUAUGUUUUCCCGUGUUGAGUCAAAUAAAGCCGCAGGCUCCACUCCUGGUGGUGCCCUUCCGUCAAUUCCUUUAUGUUUCAGCCUUGCGACCAUAAUCCCCCCGGAACCCAAAAACUUUGAUUUCUCAUAAGGUGCUGGCAGAGUCCUAAAAGCAACAUCCGCCGAUCCCUGGUCGGCAUCGUUUAUGGUUGAGAGUAGGAUGGUAUCUGAUCGUCUUCGAUCCCCCAACUUUCGUUGUUGAUUAAUGAAAACAUCCUUGGCAAAUGCUUUCGCAGUAGUUCGUCUUUUAUAAAUCCAAGAAUUUCACCUCUGACUAUGAAAUACAAAUGCCCCUGACUGUCCCUGUUAAUCAUUACUCCGGUAACGAAGGCCAACGUAAUAGGACCGAAAUCCUAUAAUGUUAUCCCAUGCUAAUGUAUACAGAGCGUAUGCUUGCUUUGAGCACUGUAAUUGCUUCAAAGUAACAGCGCCGGAGGCACGACUCGUCCAAUUAAGGCCACGAGUGCAUCGCCGACAGAAGGGACGAGACGCCCGGUGCACACCUAUGGCAGACCGGUCGGCUCAUCCCAAAGUCCAACUAUGAGCUUUCUAACUGCAACAACUUAAAUAUAUGCUAUUGGAGCUGGGCCGCAGCUGCUGGCACCAGACUUCCCUCCAAUGGAUCCUCGUUAAGGGAUUUAGAUUGUACUCAUUCCAAUUACCAGACUCAUAAAGCCCGGUAUUGUUAUUUAUUGUCACUACCUCCCCGUUGGAGCUGGGCCGCAGCUGCUGGCACCAGACUUCCCUCCAAUGGAUCCUCGUUAAGGGAUUUAGAUUGUACUCAUUCCAAUUACCAGACUCAUAAAGCCCUGCAUUGUUAUUUAUUGUCACUACCUCCCCGUGUCAGGAUUGGGUAAUUUGCGCACCGUCUGCCUUCCUUGGAUGUGUUAGUCGUUUCUCAGGUUCCCUCUCCGGAAUCAAACCAUAAUUCUCCGUCACCCGUCACCACCAUGGUAGGCCACUAUCCUACCAUCGAAAGUUGAUAGACGGGUUGGAGCCGCGACAUUACGAGAGUUGAGUUUCAACCACCACUUGUCGUGACGUCCGUCGCUGUGGACUUGCAUUUAGUCAAACCAUAAUUCUCCGUCACCCGUCACCACCAUGGUAGGCCACUAUCCUACCAUCGAAAGUUGAUAGGGCAGAAAUUUGAAUGAUGCUUCGCCGACAAGAUGGCCGUGCGAUCCGUCGAGUUAACAUGAAUCAUCGCAGCAAUGUGCAGAGUCUGUGUCGACCUUUUAUCUAAUAAAUGCAUCCCUUCCGGAAGUCGGGGCUUGUUGCACGUAUUAGCUCUAGAAUUUCUACGGUUAUCCGAGUAGUAGAUACCAUCAAACAAACUAUAACUGAUUUAAUGAGCCAUUCGCAGUUUCACAGUCUGAAUUUGUUCAUACUUACAUAUCUAAUAAAUGCAUCCCUUCCGGAAGUCGGGGCUUGUUGCACGUAUUAGCUCUAGAAUUUCUACGGUUAUCCGAGUAGUAGAUACCAUCAAACAAACUAUAACUGAAUUAAUCAGGGACUCGCAGUUUCACAGCUGAAUUUGUUCAUACUUACACAUUCAUGGCAUAAUCUUUGAGACAACCAUAUGACUACUGGCAGGAUCAACCAGGAGGCAUUCCUCAUUGAUGCUGGUGUCGCAUGAGCUUGGCUGACCCAAAAGGGCACGGGCAAGUCCAAGGUGAGUACGACCAUCAUUCGUAAGGAGCAUUCUUUGGGAAGAUAGGAGUCAAUGAAGGCUCCGUACCCAUUGCAUUUACCAAUCCGAGAGCCCGAGCAUGCUAAGUCAUGGACAAAGCCAUCGCAAGGGAAUGCUUGGACGACCUGGGACACAAAUACAACUUUUGGUUCUCCCCGCACGUCGAACUCGAGCGGCGAAAGGCCAAUAAUUGUGCUUGAUAAUGCCUUCGCAUUAGGUAUGCAACACAGAAAAGCGACGUCGAACAAGCCUAAUUUGCGCUUCUGACAUGAUUAAGAUGGCAUGCAAGCUA